GACGAACGCUGGCGGCGUGCUUAACACAUGCAAGUCGAACGGAAAGGCCCUGCUUUUGUGGGGUGCUCGAGUGGCGAACGGGUGAGUAACCCGUGAGUAACCUGCCCUUGCCUUUGGGAUAACUUCAGGAAACUGGGGCUAAUACCGGAUAGGAGCUCCUGCUGCAUGGUGGGGGUUGGAAAGUUUCGGCGGUUGGGGAUGGACUCGCGGCCUAUCAGCUUGUUGGUGGGGUAGUGGCUUACCAAGGCUUUGACGGGUAGCCGGCCUGAGAGGGUGACCGGCCACAUUGGGACUGAGAUACGGCCCAGACUACUACGGGAGGCAGAAGUGGGGAAGAGUGCACAAUGGGCGGAAGCCUGAUGCAGCAACGCCGCGUGCGGGAUGACGGCCUUCGGGUUGUAAACCGCUUUCGCCUGUGACGAAGCGUGAGUGACGGUAAUGGGUAAAGAAGCACCGGCUAACUACGUG
rnacentral:rRNA from 1 species